rnacentral:rRNA from 1 species
AGCACUGUAGGUGCCAGCCGCCGCGGUAAUACAGAGGGUGCAAGCGUUAAUCGGAAUUACUGGGCGUAAAGCGCGCGUAGGUGGUUCGUUAAGUUGGAUGUGAAAGCCCCGGGCUCAACCUGGGAACUGCAUUCAAAACUGUCGAGCUAGAGUAUGGUAGAGGGUGGUGGAAUUUCCUGUGUAGCGGUGAAAUGCGUAGAUAUAGGAAGGAACACCAGUGGCGAAGCGACCACCUGGACUGAUACUGACACUGAGGUGACGAAAGCGUGGGGAGACAAACGAGGAUUAGACUACCCUGGUAGUCCACGACCGUAAACGAUGUACAACUAGCCGUUGGGAGCCUUGAGCUCUUAGUGGCGCAGCUAACGCAUUAAGUU